rnacentral:rRNA from 1 species
UACGGGGGGGCGAAGCGUUGUUCGGAAUUACUGGGCGUAAAGGGCUCGUAGGCGGCCAACUAAGUCAUACGUGAAAUCCCUCGGCUUAACCGGGGAACUGCGUCUGAUACUGGAUGGCUUGAGUUCGGGAGAGGGAUGCGGAAUUCCAGGUGUAGCGGUGAAAUGCGUAGAUAUCAGGAAGAACACCUAUGGCGAAGGCAGCUCUCUGGGACGGUACUGACGCUGAGACGCGAAAGCGUGGGGAGCAAACAGG